AGCCCCGAGGUGCAGAGCACGCCGGAUUGCAAAUCCGGAGGCGCAGGUUAGCCCCUGCCGGGGCCU
rnacentral:tRNA from 1 species